rnacentral:tRNA from 1 species
GCGGAUGUAGAUCAGCUGGCUAGAGCACCACGUUGCCAAGGUGGGGGUGGCGGGUUCGAAUCCCGUCAUCCGCU